rnacentral:misc_RNA from 1 species
UGAGUGAAGUUCCUGCAACUUCUGUAUCAAAUCAUAGAAAGGAAAAUACAGAAAAUUCAAGAUCAAGUUGGCUUCUGAAAGCAAAUAAUAAUUGAAGACAAAAUUAUGUGCAUGUCAAGAUAGAAAUAUUGUUCUGUUGCCUUUGCAUGAUGAAAUGUUGAAAAGGUAACUAAGUGGAAAAAAUGCCACUAAUGCAUAAGCCCUGGAAAAUUAUUAACUUUUCAUAUGAUUUUUAUGUUACAUUAAGCAGAAAUGUGGUGAUUGCAUUUAUGCUGCCAAGACAUGUUUAAAUUUUUGUAUGGAAUUAAGUUUUGUGACUGAAAGGUGAGAAAUGUUAUGC